rnacentral:rRNA from 1 species
UACAGAGGGGGCAAGCGUUGUUCGGAAUUACUGGGCGUAAAGCGCACGUAGGUGGUUUGUUAAGCCAGCUGUGAAAUCCCCGGGCUCAACCUGGGCACUGCAGUUGGAACUGGCAAGCUAGAGUAGGGUAGAGGGGUGUGGAAUUCCAGGUGUAGCGGUGAAAUGCGUAGAUAUCGAGAGGAACACCUGCGGCGAAGGCGGGUUGCUGGGCUGACACUGACGCUGAUGCGCGAAAGCUAGGGGAGCGAACGGG